rnacentral:sRNA from 1 species
AGCAGCCGCGGUAAUUCCAGCUCCAAUAGCGUAUAUUAAAGUUGUUGCAGUUAAAAAGCUCGUAGUUGAAUUUCGGGAUCAGUUCGCUGGUCGUGCCUUCGGUAUGUACUGGUGUUACUGGUUCCUACCUUCUGACGAACCGUCAUGUCAUUAAUUUGGUGUGGCGGGGAAUCAGGACUGUUACUUUGAAAAAUUAGAGUGUUUAAAGCAGGCUCGCGCUUGAAUACAUUAGCAUGGAAUAAUGAAAUAGGACGUUCGAUCCUAUUUUGUUGGUUUCUAGGAUUGACGUAAUGAUUAAUAGGGAUAGUUGGGGGCAUUAGUAUUCAAUUGUCAGAGGUGAAAUUCUUGGAUUUAUUGAAGACUAGCUACUGCGAAAGCAUUUGCCAAGGAUGUUUUCAUUAAUCAAGAACGAAAGUUAGGGGAUCGAAGACGAUCAGAUACCGUCGUAGUCUUAACCAUAAACUAUGCC